GCCGGGCGUGGUGGCGGGUGCCUGUAAUCCCAGUUACUUGGGAGGCUGAGGUAGGAGAAUUGCUUGAACCCAGGAGACAGAGGUUGCAGUGAGCUGAGAUCACGCCACUGCACUCCAGCCUGGGCGACAGAGCGAGACUCUGUCUCAA
rnacentral:SRP_RNA from 2 species